rnacentral:rRNA from 1 species
UAUUGCACAAUGGGGGAAACCCUGAUGCAGCAACGCCGCGUGAGUGUAGAAGUAUUUCGGUAUGUAAAGCUCUAUCAACAGGGACGAAAGAAAUGACGGUACCUGAAUAAGAAGCCCCGGCUAACUACGUGCCAGCAGCCGCGGUAAUACGUAGGGGGCAAGCGUUAUCCGGAAUUACUGGGUGUAAAGGGUGAGUAGGCGGCAUGGUAAGCCAGAUGUGAAAGCCUUGGGCUUAACCCGAGGAUUGCAUUUGGAACUAUCAAGCUAGAGUACAGGAGAGGAAAGCGGAAUUCCUAGUGUAGCGGUGAAAUGCGUAGAUAUUAGGAAGAACACCAGUGGCGAAGGCGGCUUUCUGGACUGAAACUGACGCUGAGGCACGAAAGCGUGGGGAGCGAACAGG